UUCAGCAAACAUUCAACAUUUAUAAAAAAUAAAAUCAACAUCAACAUCUUACUUUCUCCUAAACUUAAGCAAUAUGCAAAAUAACUAACUCUUAAAAAACUGAAAUAAACGUGGACAUGUUUCAAUCCUGAAGCAGUUUCUUAACACUCCUACUUGCUUUAGGAGUUGCAAAUACCAAGUCUUGACCUCGGAAGCUCAAACUUGCUAGCAAGUAAUGAUUUGGUUAAAAUGUCCGCAAUUUAAUUUUCUGUUUUGCAAAAGACAAGGAUCACAUCUCAAUGCUUCAGUUCUUCCCUUAGAAAGAAUAGCUUGAUAUUAAAGUGUUUAGUCUUCCCAUGAAACACGAGAUUAUGAGAGAUAGCAAUAGCAGCUUGGUUGUCAACAAAAAUCUUUGUGCUUUCCUUCUGCUCCAGACCAAGAUCAAGUAAAAUUUUCCUCAGCCAUAAAGCUUGAUUACCAGUAGCUGUGGCAGUAAUAAACUCUGCUUCGGCAGUGGAUUGGGCUACAGUUUCUUGGUUUUUCGAGUUCCAUGAGAAAACACCAGAGCCAAAAGUAAAACAGUAACCUGAAGUGCUCCUUGUACAAGCCCAAAUUUACCCAGGGCCCAAUACCCAUUACAACCAAACCAGGCCCAAAAUAAAAAUAAACCCUAGCCCAACAACCUAAAAAAUUUUCAGCCAAAGGGAAACCCUAAAGUGCCGCCGCUCUUCUGACCUCUGGCAGCCACCGACUCCGCCACCGUAUGGUCUCCUCACCUACCAUCUGCCGCCACCUGCUUUACCAGGACCUGCAAACACGCAACAAAGAGAAGCAGAAGCAGAAGCAGAGGGAAACAAGUCCAGAAUAGCAAAAAAAUUUAGAUUUUCUUCCGGCUAUAAAACCGAUUUGCAAAAACGAAACGGGGAGAUUUUUCUUUUAGGUUUUUUCUUCCUUUCUUUCUUUCCGCUAAAGCCGAAUUUGCUGUAAUAGGGGGGGGACAAAAAAUCAAAAACAAAAAAGAGAGAAUGAAAUAAAAACAAAGAUAAAGGUUUUAGUUUCCAAAACUUUUUUGUUCAUUUUUUUAUUUUUAUUUUUAUUUUUGUUUUGUUCAAAAUAUAUAUGUAUAUACGCAUAUGCAGCAAAAAAAGAAAAAGAAAAAAUACCUUUUUUUGAAUUUCCGGCAACCGUGCACGGUGGCCGGCGUGACGGCGGCCACGGUGGUCAUCGGCCGGGAUCCACGCCGGAGGAGGAGAGCCUGAGAGAGAAUGAAAUAUUUUUUCUAUUUUUUUUCUGGAAGAGGGAAGGGAAAUGAGGAUUUUCACAAAAAAAUACCUUUAUACUAGUAUUGAAACGGCGUCGUUUCAUUCAGAGACUUUAGGCGCCAAACGGCGCCAUUUUGCGCGACCCGAGCGUGACCCGACCCAUUACCAGGAGGAUCCGCGUGAUUUGUGAAUAGGGUAUAAUUACUAUUCUAGUCCUUCCGAUUUUCAUUACAUUUUCAAUUAAGUACUCUUUGAUUUUUCAAUUUCGCCCCGAUAUUUGUCGCGCUCUCAAUUUAGUCCUCACUAGGACGACGCCAUUUUGGAGGGUGAGGGAUUAUUUCCCAUUUAGUCCCUCCUCAUUAUCGGCGAGUUCAGUUUGGUCCUUUCUCUUUUAUUUAUUUGCGAUUUGACCCCGAAUGUUAUUUUUUAACUUCAAUGUAGCCCUCUGAUUGUAUUUUGGUUAUUUCAUUAUUAAAACUAAUAUAUUAUUAUUAUUAUUAUUAUUAGUAUUAUUAUCUAUAUUAUUGUUAUUAUUGUUAUAUUUCUAUUUAUACCUAUUUAUGUAAAUUUUAAAUAUAUUUAUCUUAUUAUAUUAUUAUUAUUUUAAGUACUUAUAUAUAUAUACGCAUAUAUAUAUUUUUUUAAACUUGAAAUUAUUUUGUUAUUCCAUUAGUAACAUUAAUAGUAGUAUUAUUAUCCUUAUUUAUAUUCUUUACCUCAAAUUUUGCUACAUACAUAUAUACAUAUAUACAUACAUAUCUUUGAUUUAUAUAUAUAUACUUAUUUAUAUUUUUUAUAUAUUUUAUAAUUUAUAUAUACAUAUAUUUAUAUCUAUAUACAUAUUUUCUAAAUUUUUAUAAGUAUAUAUAUAUAUUUAUAUGUACGUACUUAUAUAUUUUUUAUACUUUCUAAUUUGCAUAUACAUAUUUACAUCCAUAUUUUUUAAUUUAAUUUAAACAUAUAUAAAUUAUCAUCAUUUACUUGUUUAUAUAUCUUUUAAACUUUGAUGCAUACUUACGUAUAUUUUUAUAUUGUAUAAAUUUUUUUAAUAUAAAUAUACAUAUUUUUAUUUUCAUGAAUACAUACAUAUACUUAUAUGUUUUUUUUUUAUAUUUUCAUAUGAUUUAUAUAUAUACCUACAUAUUUUUAGAUAUAUACAUACUCAUGUUUUUCACGCUGUAUAAUUUAUGUAUGUACAUAGAUAUGCAUAUUCAUUUUUAUAUAAACAUAUAUACAUUUGCACAUUUUAUAAUUUAUAACUUAAAUAUAUUGAUAUACAUACAUAUAUCUUUUAUCUUUUAUUAUUUGUUAUUGUCGUUCUAUUUGACAUUUACUUAUUCAUUUAUUUAUGUGUUGGUCAUUAUUUUUAGGAAAUGCUUUAUUUCCUUUUUUUAUUUACUUAUUAUUUCAUAUAUACUUGAUUUUUUUUUUAUUGUUGCUCAUAUUAGUUAUGCUUGUAUUAUCAUGUCCAUUAUCAUUUUGUUACACAUAUUAAUAUUGUGUUCAUUCCUACCUGUUUAUGUUAAAUUAAUUUUAUUUAAUGUAAAUCAAGGCUUCAAAAUAAGUAGAAUUUCGUGUUUAGAUUCGAGAGGAUUGAGCCCUAACGUAUUGGGUUCCAAUUUUCUUCGUUGAAUCUAAAUAAUCGAGACUACUCUUUAUAAAAACAUAAAUAAAAAGCUCAUUAUCGAGAGUUCAAUAUUUUGUGUCCUAACGCAUUGGAUAUAAUACGUUGUUUUCCUGAGAUGAGGAUUUUACUAUUGUUCAACUAAAAGACCACAUUUGGGGAUUUUUUAAAGUAUAGGAACACAUUAGUAUUAUUUGUUUUAGUACGUCUUCUUCGUUUGGUUUUAUGUGCAAUCUAUUUGUCUUAAUUCCAUAUACAUAGAGAGAGAGGAGGCAUCCUCUUCUAUAGGUGGUUUUAAAUAUUUUUAUAUUUUUUUACAAUUAGUAUUUUAUUUUAAUAAUAUGAUCAUCAAAUUUUAUGUUUCAUUUAUAUGUGUUAAAUUUGGAAAAAAAAUAUUUUUUUAUUAUUUAUAGAAAUAUAGACAAUAUUUUAAAUUGAUAAUCAAAAUAUUUGAUCAAUUCAAAAUUUUACAUACAUUACAGUACCAAACAAACUUUAACCAUUACUUUAAACCUCUAAACCUUAAAUCCUAAAAUUAAAAUUAUAUACCCAUGAACUAAGUUAAUUAAUAGUCAUAGUAAUUGAUUUCAUAGAUAUGUAUAGUUUAAAAAAAUAAUUUAUUUAUUAUAUUAUUAAUCAAGGUUUUCGUAUAUAGCUAAUGAUACUCACAAAUUUUGACUACUAAUUUAUUAAGAAUUAAUCAAAUUGAAGCUAUACCUUUAUUUAUUAAAAUCGAAAUACUUGCAAGAUUGAAAUCUCAAUUUGUAUCAAUUAAAUAAAUUGUUAGAAUUCCCAAAAUGAUACAUUUUUCUUGCCGACUAUUAAGUAGCCUUUUUCCAAUUUUUAUUAUACAAUAUAGUUUCAAACUCACACGUACACCCUACACACGACUACGCUACCACACAAGUAAACCUAUGAAUUAAAUCUUGGUCAUGAGUACAAGUGAACACCCUUUCGGCCAAUGGCCUCUUAUGAUAUUUACCUCCAUUAGAAUAAUUCGUUUUCCUUUUAUUUUGUUAUAAAUCUCUAUUCUAAUUAUUAUUAUUUAUUUUUUUUACUAUAGUUGAAAAUGAAAUAAAAUGCACAAUUUUAAACUAAUGUAUAUAUCUCUCGCAUUUUUUCCUCUCAUCUUUCUAGAUUGAAAAUAUUGAUUUUUAUGCUUUAAGAUGGAAAAUGGUUAUCUCUCCUGUUUUUUUUCCUCUAACUUUUCUUCUCAAUCGAACACACUCAAAAUUUAUUUUUUAUUUACUUUUUUACUAUCCUCCUAUCUUUUUAUUUUUCACCCAACUAAUAACACCCUAAACUCUCUUCGGAAGUGUAAAUACCUGCAUAUGUUGGUAAUUUAUUUUUUAACUCCAAUAAGAAGUGUUUAUAAAUUAAAGACGCGCUUUCUUAAAAUUCAAAUUGUGUCAUUUAUUUGUUUAUUUCAAGUGAUUCAUUAUAUCAAUUUAUUAUAAAAGGAUAAACAACUAUGAUAAGUACAAAGAUCAUAAUCGAUUUUAUCAAAUUUUUGCCCCCAAAGUGCAGUUUAUUGAGGGUAGCUUCUAGCUUCUUUUUUUUCUUUUUUUUUAAGUGAAUGCAGCUUCUAGCUACUUAAAACACACUUAUUUAAGAAUCAUUAAUUGUUUCUCUCUCGAGAUACUCCUUGGAAGCUUGUGUAGCAGCUUCUAUUGGGAGGGUAGGCUUUGGAUCUUUAGCUUCAAAUUCUUUCUUGACAGCAUACGAAAUGAUAGAUUUUAUGAUGCAUGAGUUUUGGGAUUUCUCUUUUAUAUCAAAUUCAACGAUUAGAACUGAGCAACCAAAUGCUAGACAAUCACCUUCCAAGGCUUUUGCCGCUUUCACCCUUUUUUUGGUCAUCAAUCACAAUGAACUCCUCUGUAUAACUUGAAUUCCCUGCUUCAUCUUCAACAUUAGCCCAAACCAUUCGAAAACCAAGAGUACUGAUCAAAGGAAAAAUUGAAUUUCGAAGGAUAUUUAAUCAUCUCAAAGCAAUAAAAACAAGAGUGUUGUCAAAGAAAAACUUGAUUUUAUAGAGUAUUUAAAAUCAGCUCAAGCACAAGAAAAAACAGGAAUAUUGAUAAAAGAAAAGCUUGGUUUUAAACAGUAUGCAUCACCACCAAGAUUUGUUUAAAAUAGGGAUUAAAGCCUCCGUCAGGCAACAAAGUGUCCAUGACUUCAAACUAUUAAAAAACUUGAUGUUAAAAGGGUAUUUUAUAGAGGUUUAAGUACCUGGAACGAAAGUGGUUUUGGCAACAGUUCCGAUCCCACCAUCACCUUUCAAAACCUGAGUGCUCUGGACAUUUGGAAGCUUAGGAACAAUAAUAUUUAUGAGGCCAAGGUUCCUAUAAAGUUCCCAAGCUUCAUAUGCAGGCGCAUCCACUUCAAGCUCCUUCGUAAUAUGCUUCAAUUCCCGAGAAUUAACCCCAACGUAGCAAGCAAACAGAACAAAGAAAACCAAUGAGAAUUGCUUCAGCAUUUUUUUUUCUUUGGAAUUUUGCUAGCUUUAAACCUUGGAAUGAUUCUCUGGUUUCUCUAUUUCUGCAAUUUUCAGGGUUUAUAUAGAGCAUAGAAAUAGGUUAAUACGUUCACUGAAUGAUAUAUUUAAAAAUAUCUAAUCUAUAAAUCUAUAAUAUAUGGCUACCAAUAAAUCAAGGAUUGGACAACGUUGCUUGUCUUUUAAAAAUAUCUGUAAGAAUUUGAAGAAAACAAAAAACAAAAAUAAUGGAUGAAGGUAACUUACCUUUUUAUUCAGCAAACAUUCAACAUUUUAUAAAAAUAAAAUCAACGUCAACAUCUUACUUUCUCCUAAACUUAAGCAAUAUGCAAAAUAACUAACUCUUAAAAAACUGAAAUAAACGUGGACAUGUUUCAAUCCUGAAGCAGUUUCUUAACACUCCUACUUGCUUUAGGAGUUGCAAAUACCAAGUCUUGACCUCAGAAGCUCAAACUUGCUAGCAAGUAAUGAUUUGGUUAAAAUGUCCGCAAUUUAAUUUUCUGUUUUGCAAAAGACAAGGAUCACAUCUCAAUGCUUCAGUUCUUCCCUUAGAAAGAAUAGCUUGAUAUUAAAGUGUUUAGUCUUCCCAUGAAACACGGGAUUAUGAGAGAUAGCAAUAGCAGCUUGGUUGUCAACAAAAAUCUUUGUGCUUUCCUUCUGCUCCAGAUCAAGAUCAAGUAAAAUUUUCCUCAGCCAUAAAGCUUGAUUACCAGUAGCUGUGGCAGUAAUAAACUCUGCUUCGGCAGUGGAUUGGGCUACAGUUUCUUGGUUUUUCGAGCUCCAUGAGAAAACACCAGAGCCAAAAGUAAAACAGUAACCUGAAGUGCUC
rnacentral:lncRNA from 1 species